UGAGAGUCAGCGACAUGCAAGCCAAUGAUAUGAGAAGGACUUUAAGAAGCUGCUGAAGAACCCAAGAGGAAGGUGGGAGCUGUUGAUGGUGUGGAAUUAGAGGCCUGAUGGAGUGGAGAGCUUUCCUCCUCAUCACCUGGGUCAGGACCGUGGAGCUCCUUGAGCCUUGAGAUUCCAGGCCCAGGAGCACAUCAUCAUUGUGCUUCUUGGGGCCCAGGCGCAUCUCCUAAGAACUUGUUCUUAGACAUGUUGUGCUCAAACUUGUGGCAUCAUAGCAGUAAUAGUUUACAAUAUACCUACAGUUUCCUGGGCAGAUCAUCAGGUGCAGACUGGCUGCAGAGAGAAGGGAACUGUUUCACUUUCAUCUUCCUGGGCCAUUUCCAGAUACGAAUUGCAGAGACAUAUUUCAAUAUAUCCUCACCCAAGUAUGCUUUAGAAGUACAUUUCUUUUAAUAUAAUAAGAUUUAUGUCUUUUAUGUUUGUUUAGAGGGUAAAUCUGGAUUUGUAUUUUUAGAAGUUACUUUCACCAAAGAAAUUCGAAAGAAAUAGUAUUUCAGAAAAAUCAAAACAAGCCAUAGCAAUCUAAUAUUUUUCAGAUACUAUAUUGGGCUGCAUGAAGACUAAAUCCAUAAUAUGUAUGAAUAAUGUAUUCUAAAGUAAAUAUCAUAUUUUGUCAAAUUA
rnacentral:lncRNA from 1 species